UACGAAGGGGGCUAGCGUUGCUCGGAAUCACUGGGCGUAAAGCGCACGUAGGCGGCUUCUUAAGUCAGGGGUGAAAUCCUGGAGCUCAACUCCAGAACUGCCUUUGAUACUGAGGAGCUUGAGUCCGGGAGAGGUGAGUGGAACUGCGAGUGUAGAGGUGAAGUUCGUAGAUAUUCGCAAGAACACCAGUGGCGAAGGCGGCUCACUGGCCCGGUACUGACGCUGAGGCACGAAAGUGUGGGGAUCAAACAGGG
rnacentral:rRNA from 1 species